UAGGGAAUCUUCGGCAAUGGGGGGAACCCUGAUCGAGCAACGCCGCGUGAGUGAAGAAGGUUUUCGGAUCGUAAAGCUCUGUUGUUAAGGAAGAACGAGUGUGAGAAUGGAAAGUUCAUGCUGUGACGGUACUUAACCAGAAAGGGACGGCUAACUACGUGCCAGCAGCCGCGGUAAUACGUAGGUCCCGAGCGUUGUCCGGAUUUAUUGGGCGUAAAGCGAGCGCAGGCGGUUAGAAAAGUCUGAAGUGAAAGGCAGUGGCUCAACCAUUGUAGGCUUUGGAAACUGUUUAACUUGAGUGCAGAAGGGGAGAGUGGAAUUCCAUGUGUAGCGGUGAAAUGCGUAGAUAUAUGGAGGAACACCGGUGGCGAAAGCGGCUCUCUGGUCUGUAACUGACGCUGAGGCUCGAAAGCGUGGGGAGCGAACAGG
rnacentral:rRNA from 1 species